ACUGAACGCUGGCGGCAUGCUUUACACAUGCAAGUCGAACGGUAACAGGCCGCAAGGUGCUGACGAGUGGCGAACGGGUGAGUAAUGCAUCGGAACGUGCCCAGUCGUGGGGGAUAACGCAGCGAAAGCUGUGCUAAUACCGCAUACGAUCUAUGGAUGAAAGCGGGGGACCGUAAGGCCUCGCGCGAUUGGAGCGGCCGAUGUCAGAUUAGGUAGUUGGUGGGGUAAAGGCCUACCAAGCCGACGAUCUGUAGCUGGUCUGAGAGGACGACCAGCCACACUGGGACUGAGACACGGCCCAGACUCCUACGGGAGGCAGCAGUGGGGAAUUUUGGACAAUGGGCGCAAGCCUGAUCCAGCAAUGCCGCGUGCGGGAAGAAGGCCUUCGGGUUGUAAACUGCUUUUGUACGGAACGAAACGGUCUGGGUUAAUACCCUGGGCUAACGACGGUACCGUAAGAAUAAGCACCGGCUAACUACGUGCCAGCCGCCGCCGUAAUAC
rnacentral:rRNA from 1 species